GACGAACGCUGGCGGCGUGCUUAACACAUGCAAGUCGAACGGUAAGGCCCUUCGGGGUACACGAGUGGCGAACGGGUGAGUAACGCGUGAGUAACCUGCCCUUCACCCUGGGAUAACAGUUGGAAACGGCUGCUAAUACCGGAUAUUCAGCUCCUGUCGCAUGGUGGGGGUUGGAAAGUUUUGGUGGUGGAGGAUGGGCUCGCGUCCUAUCAGCUUGUUGGUGGGGUGAUGGCCUACCAAGGCGUCGACGGGUAGCCGGCCUGAGAGGGCGACCGGCCACAUUGGGACUGAGAUACGGCCCAAACUCCUACGGGAGGCAGCAGUGGGGAAUAUUGCACAAUGGGCGGAAGCCCGAUGCAGCAACGCCGCGUGCGGGAUGACGGCCUUCGGGUUGUAAACCGCUUUCAGCAGGGACGAAGCGCAAGUGACGGUACCUGCAGAAGAAGCACCGGCUAACUCCGUG
rnacentral:rRNA from 1 species